rnacentral:rRNA from 1 species
GACGAACGCUGGCGGCGUGCUUAACACAUGCAAGUCGAACGCGCCUGUCCUCUGGGUUUCUGGGGGGUGGGUGAGUGGCGAACGGGUGAGUAACACGUGAGUAACCUGCCCCCUUCUUCGGGAUAACGGUCUGAAAGGGCUGCUAAUACCGGGUAUUCACUGGUCUCCGCAUGGGGUCUGGUGGAAAGGUUUUUUUCUGGUGGGGGAUGGGCUCGCGGCCUAUCAGCUUGUUGGUGGGGUGAUGGCCCACCAAGGCUUUGACGGGUAGCCGGCCUGAGAGGGUGACCGGUCACAUUGGGACUGAGAUACAGCCCAGACUCCUACGGGAGGCAGCAGUGGGGAAUAUUGCACAAUGGGCGCAAGCCUGAUGCAGCGACGCCGCGUGAGGGAUGGAGGCCUUCGGGUUGUGAACCUCUUUCGCCCGUGGUCAAGCCGCGACGUGGGUCGUGGUGAGGGUAGUGGGUAAAGAAGCGCCGGCUAACUACGUG